rnacentral:rRNA from 1 species
UACGAAGGGGGCUAGCGUUGUUCGGAAUCACUGGGCGUAAAGCGCACGUAGGCGGAUAUUUAAGUCAGAGGUGAAAUCCUGGAGCUCAACUCCAGAACUGCCUUUGAUACUGGGGAUCUCGAGUCCGGGAGAGGUGAGUGGAACUGCGAGUGUAGAGGUGAAAUUCGUAGAUAUUCGCAAGAACACCAGUGGCGAAGGCGGCUCACUGGCCCGGUACUGACGCUGAGGCGCGAAAGCGUGGGGAGCGAACAGG